AGAGUUUGAUCCUGGCUCAGAACAAACGCUGGCGGCGUGCCUAACACAUGCAAGUCGUACGAGAAAGUCCGCUUCGGUGGAUGAGUAAAGUGGCGCACGGGUGAGUAACGCGUGGAUAAUCUACCCUUUAGUCUGGAAUAACUUAUCGAAAGGUGAACUAAUACCGGAUAAUAUCCCGAUUUCUUCGGCGAUCGGGAUCAAAGAAGGCCUCUGCUUGCAAGCUUUCACUGAAGGAUGAGUCCGCGUACCAUUAGCUAGUUGGCAGGGUAAUGGCCUACCAAGGUUAUGAUGGUUAGCUGGUCUGAGAGGAUGAUCAGCCACACUGGAACUGAAACACGGUCCAGACUCCUACGGGAGGCAGCAGUGAGGAAUAUUGCGCAAUGGGGGCAACCCUGACGCAGCAACGCCGCGUGAGUGAGGAAGGUUUUCGGAUUGUAAAGCUCUGUCGAGCGGAAAGAAGUGCAUGGUGGUUAAUAUCCAUCAUGCUUGACGGUACCGCUAAAGGAAGCACCGGCUAACUCCGUGCCAGCAGCCGCGGUAAUACGGGGGGUGCAAGCGUUGUUCGGAAUCAUUGGGCGUAAAGCGCGUGUAGGCGGCUGGACAAGUCAGAUGUGAAAGCCCUGGGCUUAACCCAGGAAGUGCAUUUGAAACUGUUCAGCUAGAGUAAGGGGAGAGGAAAGUGGAAUUCCUGGUGUAGAGGUGAAAUUCGUAGAUAUCAGGAGGAACACCGGUGGCGGAAGGCGACUUUCUGGCCCUAUACUGACGCUGAGACGCGAAAGCGUGGGUAGCAAACAAGGAUUAGAUACCCUGGUAUUCCACGCUGUAAACGAUGUUCACUAGGUGUUGGGGGUAUUGACCCUUCCAGUGCCGCAGCUACGCAUUAGUGAACCGCCUGGGGGAGUACGGUCGCAGAUUAGAACUCAAUGAAUUGACG
rnacentral:rRNA from 1 species